rnacentral:rRNA from 1 species
GAUGAACGCUGGCGGCGUGCCUAAUACAUGCAAGUCGAGCGAACAGACGAGGAGCUUUCUCCUCUGACGUUAGCGGCGGACGGGUGAGUAACACGUGGAUAACCUACCUAUAAGACUGGGAUAACUUCGGGAAACCGGAGCUAAUACCGGAUAAUAUAUUGAACCGCAUGGUUCAAUAGUGAAAGACGGUUUUGCUGUCACUUAUAGAUGGAUCCGCGCUGCAUUAGCUAGUUGGUAAGGUAACGGCUUACCAAGGCAACGAUGCGUAGCCGACCUGAGAGGGUGAUCGGCCACACUGGAACUGAGACACGGUCCAGACUCCUACGGGAGGCAGCAGUAGGGAAUCUUCCGCAAAGGGCGAAAGCCUGACGGAGCAACGCCGCGUGAGUGAUGAAGGUCUUCGGAUCGUAAAACUCUGUUGUUAGGGAAGAAAAAAUGUGUAAGUAACUAUGCACGUCUUGACGGUACCUAAUCAGAAAGCCACGGCUAACUACGUG